rnacentral:rRNA from 1 species
UACGUAGGGCGCAAGCGUUGUCCGGAAUUAUUGGGCGUAAAGAGCUCGUAGGCGGCCUGUUGCGUCCGCUGUGAAAUCCCGGGGGCUCAACCCCCGGGCCUGCAGUGGAUACGGGCUGGCUAGAGGCAGGCAGGGGAGAACGGAAUUCCUGGUGUAGCGGUGAAAUGCGCAGAUAUCAGGAGGAACACCGAUGGCGAAGGCAGGUCUCUGGGCAUUAACUGACGCUGAGGAGCGAAAGCAUGGGGAGCGAACAGG